rnacentral:tRNA from 1 species
GCCUUGUUAACUCAGUAGGUAGAGUGCGUGGCUGUUAACCACGAUGUCGCAGGUUCGAGUCCUGCACAAGGCG